UACGUAGGGUGCAAGCGUUCUCCGGAUUUAUUGGGUUUAAAGGGUCCGUAGGCGUCUCUGUAAGUCCGUUGUGAAAUCUCACAGCUUAACUGUGAAACUGCCAUUGAUACUGCAGGUCUUGAGUAAGGUAGAAGUGGCUGGAAUAAGUAGUGUAGCGGUGAAAUGCAUAGAUAUUACUUAGAACACCAAUUGCGAAGGCAGGUCACUACACAGUUAUUGACGCUGAGGCACGAAAGCGUGGGGAUCAAACAGG
rnacentral:rRNA from 1 species